rnacentral:rRNA from 1 species
UGCAGAAUCCCGCGAACCAUCGAGUCUUUGAACGCAAGUUGCGCCCGAGGCCAGCCGGCUAAGGGCACGUCUGCCUGGGCGUCAAGC